UGGCGAUGAGGAGAUAAUCUUUGGUGUUGACUUGCGGUGAUCGUUGUAUACGCUAUUCUGAGCCGGCG